rnacentral:rRNA from 1 species
UACAGAGGGGGCAAGCGUUAUUCGGAAUUAUUGGGCGUAAAGGGCGCGUAGGCGGCUUUGCAAGUGACGGGUGAAAGCCCUCGGCUUAACCGAGGAACUGCCUGUCAGACUGUAAGGCUUGAGACCGGGAGAGGUGAGUGGAAUUCCCAGUGUAGCGGUGAAAUGCGUAGAUAUUGGGAGGAACACCAGUGGCGAAGGCGGCUCACUGGCCCGGUACUGACGCUGAGGUGCGAAAGCCAGGGGAGCGAACGGG